AAUUCUUAUUCUAUUGUAUAAUACGGUGAGGAGCUGGAGCCGUGUAAGGAAGAAAAUAGUAAAAAGAAAAAAGAAAGGAGAGCUCACACUUUGCUUUACACGCAAUGGAUGACCUACGCUUUUCAACUUUCUAUUUCAGUUUCUUCCUGCCGGUGCCGCCACAAAACCAUCUCCUCCGAUUUUCUUUCCGAGUUAUGCUGAAAUUUCGGACCGAAAAGCAAGCUAUGUUUAGUGCUGAAAUGGGUCCACCCGAAUUUCAUAUUUAAGGUCGGUGAAAAGUUUCUUCGCUUUGAUUAUUUUAAGAAUUAUUAUUGAUCAGUCAAUGAGGAGUGUAAACGCUUCUUGGAUUAACAAACCUAUCCCUAUCUUGAGGUUUUGAUUAGCCUUAAAUCACAUGCAAAAACACAAAAGUUUCUUUUUCUAGUUAAUGCGUUUGUGUUUUUGUUUGUGGGCAAGGCUGUGCACAAACUCAACCAAAUAUUGCACGCCAUGUGUUUGAUAAAAGGUCUAAGAAUCUAGAAAUGACCAAAUUCUACGGGAUUUCCUAUUUCUUCUAUCUCUGUAUUGGAUCAUCAGGAUAUCUUUAUUUUAAAUUCUUCUCUAGAUUUUUCUUAGAAACAAUAUUUUAUUUUCAUCGAACACCUAAAAAGGCUUAAAAAACUCAUAUCUAUUCUCGAUAAUGCACUCCACCUGUUUGAUAAAAGUCCCCAACCAAAGCACUUGCAAGGGAUGGGAUGAGUCAACCCCAUCAAGUGCCCUCUUUCAAUUGCAUUUAGCAUCAUCAGCCUAAAAAAAUUGUCUCCAUUCGGGGUAUUGGGUUUUUACGUGUCAAUUUCUUAGAAUCUCCCCCACCCCACGUUUUGCCAUUGUCACUCCCUUUGGGAGCCCCUCGGAAAUUGCUUACCAAUUUCUGUUAAUUAGUAUAGAAAGCCCCGUAAGGUCGGGAGUGUAGUGGGAGGGUUCGUUCAUGCACUACUAGUCCUUUCAAAUUCUUUAAAUGAUAUUUUAGAAUAUCCUCUUCCUCCAUUGAGGACAAAUGGCUCCCAAUCUGUCAAAUUCUAAUUGCUUUAUUUAUUGGUUUCUUUCUUCUUCUUCUUCUCUUUUGUUUUUUCUUUUGCUUGGUUCACACCCCUGUGUGAGUUUUUGGUUUGUUUCGAUUGUGAUGAUGUUCACACUCGAGAAGAGUGUUGACGAUAAGAACUCUGAGAAGAUUCAAAUUAAAUCAAAAUUUUCCUUUGGUACUUCUUGUUCGAUUUUUCUUUAAUAUGAUCUAACCAUUGAUUUCAAUAUGUUAAAUUGAUGACUUAUAGGUUGAAGUCUAUGUUUGGUGAUUAUUUAAAAAUUAUUUGACAAUAAAAUUGUCUCUAGUGGUUGAAAUUUAGGCAUGUUAUACCCUCAAUUCCAUAUAUCAUUUUAAAUUAUUAAUUCAAUUGAAAAGCUUAAACCUAUAAGCGAACCAAAUUUAAUAUAAUACAUAGUAUUUUAAACCACUUUUAGAUUAGUCUUAUAAAAUAAUCGUGAGUAGAACAACUCAGACAUUUAUCAUCGAACUAUUAACUUUUGAAAUGAUAUGUAUUGACCUAAACCUUAGCUCAAAACGAUGAUCUAAAAGCCUCUAUCAUCAUGUUGAAUUUAAUCCCAAGAAGAGGUUUGUGCACUUUGCAUUGAAAUAGACAUUGAAGAGUGAAAAGAAAUGUUGGUUCCAUCCAUAUUCCAUAUACUCUGUUCAGUGCUUGAAAUGAUAUGAAUAAAAUAGGUCCCAUUUUAGCUCAAUCUUGUCUCCCAUUCUUUACCAAACACAAUAAAAGUUUCGAAGUUAAUCCAAACCUUUUGGUUUCAUCAUGUCACCACUUUAAGGCCUAUUUCUUCCUACACAUAAUUGGUGAUAAAACCUCUCUUUUUCGCUAGUGGGAAAACGGAAUUCAUGAAAAACGUGCACGUCAUCCUUGUCUUUUAAUACUCAAUUCAGUUUCUUUUUACUCCUAUUUCUAUGUUUAAAGUCAAACUAAGUCAAGUGGAUAAAUAUUUAUUAUCAUUGUUGAGUUACGAGAAAAAAUUUAGUACUACAGUUGUAUAGGAAUUUUUAGGUUCCCUUUUAGCGGAUUUCUUCCUUAAAAAAAUACAACUUUUUUCUGCUAUCAAUUAAAAUAUUUAUUUUUGUAGUGCAGAAUUGAACGAUUCAUUGAAUGUUUUUUUUUUUUUUUGACAAAAUUGCUUUUGAAUUUUGGAAUUAAUGAAUGUUCUUGUUGAUGCUAUUUCUAAGGUGGUAUGGUUUCCAUGGCUUCUAGUAUAUAUGGGAGUUAACCCCAAAACUCUACCACUCUUUUUUUAUUGUUGUGGCAGUAAUGAUGCUAUUCGAACUAGUCAUAUUGAUGUUCUUCAUGAAUGGACAAAGCACACAUUCAUUGCCACUUUUAUCUGCCACCAUUUCUAAAAUUCUACUCUCUGUCUUCAAUCCACAUUCACUACAUACAACCAAAAAAUAUUCUCACUAAGGCGUUCACUUCUGCUUGCUUCAAUUAGUUGUGUUGCAAACUCAAACUGACCUCUACUUUACCACUUUACCACCUUGAGUUUGAGAGGAUGUUAAUAUUGUUAGUAUCUUUUGUCUAUAUUUAAGUAGUCUUAUGUAUAUAAUACACCCUGUAAUUUACUAAGUAAUGAAGAAAUCCAUAAUACAACAAGAAAAUCCAUCCAACCCUUUCCUUUAAUAUAAGUUACUUUAAAACAACUUUUGCUUUGAUUAAUAAUACAUUUAAAAUUAUAAACUUAAAAAUAAAAUGAUUAGUUUUUCAGUUAAAAGUAAAUUUAACUUAACGACGAUAAGAUUCCUACUUAAAGGUCUGAAGUUUAAUUUCCUACUGAUGUACGGUAGAAAAGAUCUAUUUGAAAUAAAGUGUUUGAGACAGUGAAUUGAUUAUUUUCGUUUGAGUCCUAAAAUGUGUUUAGGAUGCCCAUUAUCACUUAUUUUUUAAUUUGGGUUAAUGAAUGGGUACAACAUGUAAAACACUAAAGACGAUAAAAGUUUUCAAAUUAUUUAUUAGUUUAUCGUAGUUAGGUGUGAAUUUAAUCGGUAAAAAUAUCAAAUAAUUAUAACUGAAGGCCGGCAUGGGCACUCCAGCCCAUCCAAGUUGGGCCCAAGCGCCCCCGUCUAGAAACGAGGCAUGUGAAAAUUCGCUAUGGGCUGAAAAACCUUAUGUUUCAAAUUUGGGCCUUGAAGAUCCAUUUCCCAUUUGUAAAUUCGGGCGGAAAUCCCCGGCGACGGCACCAAGUCGCUCCCCCCCAUGCUUGCCGUUCAUUUCUCGGUGCCACUUCUCCAACUCACAGAACUGAGCGUUUUAGUAACUCAAACAAUUCUUAGUUUCAAGCAGAAUUUCGAACAAGAGCUGUCCAGCGUCGUUCAAUUUGGAAACUAGUAAGGUGUAGAUGGCUCCAUCUCCAUCCUGCUGUAAGAGCCUCUACUCGUUGGGAGUGGAUCUCGUUGAGAUCUUCAAUACUUUGACUUUUUGGCCAGAGAACGUAAGCUGUAGAAGAAUCUCAAAUAAAUUUUCUCAUCAAAAUCACAGAUUUUACGUUGAUAAUCUUGAAAUGGAGGUAUCAAGGUUUGUAAAUGCCUUAUAUGCUGUUAAUGUCGUAUGGUUGAUACUAUUCUCUCAUCAUACUGUAUGGUUGACACUAUUCUCUCAUCAUACUGUAUGGUUGAUAUCAAUGGUAUGCUUUGCUUACUUUGCCAGCUAGUAUCUAUCUAUCUAUAUAUAUAUGUGCACAUUAUAUAUUAUUUGAUUAUUGUAAACUUAAAUUUCUGCACUAAUUUGUAUUCUAAGACCUGAUAUUUUAGAAGUAGCACAAUUUUUGUACUAGAAAUCCAGAUAGGUAAAGCUGAAAAAGGAAAAAGAAAAGAUCUCACCGCUAUGGUCUGUUGAACCA